rnacentral:rRNA from 1 species
UACGAAGGGGGCUAGCGUUGCUCGGAAUUACUGGGCGUAAAGGGCGCGUAGGCGGACAGUUUAGUCAGAGGUAAAAGCCCAGGGCUCAACCUUGGAACUGCCUUUGAUACUGACUGUCUUGAGUUCGGGAGAGGUGAGUGGAAUGCCAAGUGUAGAGGUGAAAUUCGUAGAUAUUCGGCGGAACACCAGUGGCGAAGGCGACUCACUGGCCCGAUACUGACGCUGAGGCGCGAAAGCGUGGGGAGCAAACAGG